rnacentral:sRNA from 1 species
AUCAAUUGAAUGUUAAGCUUUCAAUUGAAACUUUGUUCGAUUUCCUAAUCAAAACAGAUUAAAUAAUGAGCUGAGUGCGAAAGCAAACACAUUCAGAUCAUUUGAAUUGCUAAUUAUUCGACAUGAUUUUCCACACAUUAAACAGAAAACAGAAACCCAUAUUUCAAUUGAAGUUUAGCACUUGAGUUUGAAUGUUCAUUUCGUUUUUAUAAAUCUGUCGUUAGUUAUAAACGUUUUCAUUGACAACGCUCACUGCUGUGGAAUAUGUGUAUAUAUGCUUUGGCAAAAUGCAUAAAGAAGGCCUUUAGCUGUUUGGUUAAUACAUAUGUAGUAAAUGGGCCAGUUUAUGUGGUACACGUCCAUAAUCAUGGCCUAAGGAAAAGAAAGGCCAAAAGGCGAUUUAAAAAGUCAAUGGUGGUCAGAGAAUCAUAGGUCCGAGACAAGUGCGAAACACAACGUGAUGCAAUUUUUGCAAAAUCGUAUCAAAAAAGGCUUUCCAGCAAAGCUGGAUUAAAGCAACGAUUUUUGCUUUAUCAGGACGGAAUACCUGGUUUACGACGAAUUUGUGUCAAGCUGAAACAAUUCACCCCUGUGUUUUUCCAACUUCAGUGGCCUUAUUUUGUCUGCUGAAUGCUUGGCUUAAAAUCAACAGUAAUAUAGCUAUUCUCUCUCCAAUCCCUUCAUUGAUUUUAUAUCAAUGAAUAACAUUUCAGUCCUAUGUGUAUUAAAAUUUUUAUAAAAGUCUUAUGAAUUGGAAACUUACAAAUAAAAACUAAAAUCCCAGCUACCUUAACCAAAUAUUGGUAUGAGAUGUUUGGGAGUGCUUAACUGAUAUUUAACAGAUAAUAA